GUGCCAGCCGCCGCGGUAAUACCGGCAGCCCGAGUGAUGGCCGAUAUUAUUGGGCCUGAAGCGUCCGUAGCUGGCCGAACAAGUCCGUCGGGAAAUCCACGUGCUUAACGCGUGGGCGACCGGCGGAAACUGUCCGGCUUGGGGCCGGAGGACCCGAGGGGUACGUCCGGGGUAGGAGUGAAAUCCCGUAAUCCCGCACGGACCACCGAUGGCGAAAGCACUUCGAGAAAACGGAUCCGACAGUGAGGGACGAAAGCCAGGGUCUCCAACCGGAUUAGAAACCCCGGUAGUCC
rnacentral:rRNA from 1 species